GCAUUUGGUUAGUGAUACGACUGAAUGAAGAAAGGUUAGUUUGAAGAAGUGCGCGUUCAUACGUACGAGAUCCGCGUGCAGUGAAGCAGUUCCAUUCUUUGUUGUUUCUUUUUGUUAACAUGGCAAGAUCUGGCUCUCACUCACACUGAACUACGUGUCGUCUCAGUUUCAAUGGCUGGGAAUUCUACAAUUCUCGACAAUGUGGCGCAUCUGCUAAGCACUGUGAGUCAUUAUGCAUUCAUUGCGUGAAGUGUAUAGAAUGAAUGCUUGAUAAGGAACGGUUUUCAGUGGCUCCUACUAUUGGAUGCCUAUAUUAAAUAGACGAUACUGUGGAAGUGGACGCUUGACGUUAUGAUAUGACACAUUUUUUAGUUUUAAUUUGCGCCAGUGUUUUGCUUAAGAUAACCCCACAAAAAUGUUCGGCAACAUGGAGUACGAGCUUAUGAGUGUCUAACUGCAACUUGUGCCUGAAGCUUAGGGAUAUUCUCAGAAUACGGUAAGAAAUGCAUUUAUGGCGUUCUUACGCACAUUAAAAAACAAUUACAAUAAUUAAUUGAUGAAUGUUGUUGUACCACAUUAAUCUCGUAGUUUGAGCAUUAGCAAAACACAAUUAGGACCAAAAUGUGAUUAUCGUUACAUUUUCGAGCAAGAAUGUCAUAAAUGCAUUUGUUAUCCUAUUGACAAUGUUAGCCUAAACGUUUUUUCGAUGUGGUGAGGGUGUAAUGUAUUCGCGGAAAAUUAAUUCACGAGUACGUGCAUUAUGACUGGAUUGAGUUCUUAACGUUUGAACAUUAAACAUGUAGUGCAUGAACACAAAGCCCGAUGAGGAGUACAUAAUGCGAGAGACCCCAUUUGAAAAUCGUAGGUACCCCAUUUGAUUAUGUCUUCCCGUUCUUGGCGUGUGUAGUCACUAGAAUUCAGUUCCAAACUCUGAGUGACAUGGACAAAGUCACAGAUUACAACGGCCGUUUCUACAGAAUUCUUCACAGCUAAGGUGCUUAGGCAGUUGUGACGUGGGUGGUAGCGGCUUCCAGCGGCGACGUUCGUCUGCUUCCCGGCUCACGUCCUCGCAGUGUGGCGACCAUCUCACGGCAACUAAUGCUCUGACCGCUGGCUGCAGCUGGUAAUCGCUUCAGCAGCUAGCUCCCGGGUUGGACUGACUUCCAACUGUCAACCUUCAACUUCAGCUGUCACUUUUGGCUGCAUUCCGAGCUCAGUUAACUCCUUUCCAACUGCCGAUCUAACUUGCAGUGAAGAUCACUGUCUCACACACAGAGCAGUGUUCCCAGUCACAGUCUUCAUUUCGCUGCUUGGUAACAUCUUCCAACAGUGGGCAUUCCUCUGAUCCCGGGCUUACGUCCUAGCAGGCU